GAGCCAGUGGCGAAGGGUACCGCGUCCGCGUCAUAUACUGCAAGAUAAAUCGGAUUAUCUGGUGUGCGGAAGGCCCGGGUUCGACUCCCGGCUGGCUCA